GCAGGUGAAUGCAACGUCAAGCGAUGGGCGUUGUGCUCCAUAUUGUCUUAUUUAAGAAUUUUAGAAUUAUUGCAUAGCGUAAUUGAUUCGAAUAAUGCCGGUCUAUGACCGGCUUUU
rnacentral:sRNA from 1 species